ACUGCUCAGUAACACGUGGAUAACCUGCCCUAAGGUGGAGGAUAACCCCGGGAAACUGGGGAUAAUACUCCAUAGGUUAAAGAUACUGGAAUGUUCUUUAGCCGAAAGUUCCGGCGCCUUAGGAUGGAUCUGCGGCCGAUUAGGUUGUUGUUGGGGUAGUGGCCCAACAAGCCUGUAAUCGGUACGGGUUGUGGGAGCAAGAGCCCGGAGAUGGAAUCUGAGACACGAUUCCAGGCCCUACGGGGCGCAGCAGGCGCGAAAACUUUACAAUGCAGGAAACUGUGAUAAGGGAACCCCGAGUGCCCGUAUAUGCGGGCUGUCCGGAUGUUUAAAACGCAUCCGAAGAAAGGGCCGGGCAAGACCGGUGCCAGCCGCCGCGGUAAUACCGGCGGCUCGAGUGGUGGCCACUUUUAUUGGGCUUAAAGCGUUCGUAGCUUGAAUAAUAGGUCUCUUGGGAAAUCUGCAGGCUUAACCUGCAGGCGUUUAAGAGAAACUGUUGUUCUAGGAACCGGAAGAGGUGAGAGGUACUCCGGGGGUAAGAGUGAAAUCCUGUAAUCCCCGGGGGACCACCGAUGGCGAAGGCAUCUCACCAGGACGGCUUCGACAGUGAGGAACGAAAGCUGGGGGAGCGAACCGGAUUAGAUACCCGGGUAGUCCCAGCCGUAAACGAUGUGCGUUAGGUGUGCCGGUGACCACGAGUCACUGGGGUGCCGAAGGGAAACCGUGAAACGUACCGCCUGGGAAGUACGGUCGCAAGGCUGAAACUUAAAGGAAUUGGCAGGAAAGCAC
rnacentral:rRNA from 1 species